GCGGCAUCUGGCAACACUAUAUUGCAAAUUUAUGCCCACAAUUUUGUCGAAAAAAUUUGCAUUUAAAUAAAGAAAAACGCGCAAUUCGGCAAAUUAAUAAUAGUUUUUAUGCCCGCGCUUACUGUAUAUUGAGAUUUGGGCAACCUUUAGCUAUUUGUGUCCGUUAUUGGCAAUCGCACAAGUCGAAGUCGGCGCGUCGGCCCCAGCCGGAACAUACGUACAUAUGCCGAUGGGCAAUAUCAAUAUACAGUGAUAAAUUGCCAUAAUUGUUUGGUAGUUGUGUUUUAAAUGCAUUAUUGACAGGUCCCAAAUAUCCUCUUAGGAUUGGAGCACAAUGUCCAGUUCGGUAUUUACCGAGACAUCAAGCGCCCGGGUUGUGGCCGACGCCGAUUCCAAUCUUGUGGUGGUCUAUGGAAAAAAUGGCAUUUCCUUCGAUGAGCGAGCCAUCGAGAACCUUAUGGAGGAAAAAUCAAUUUCGACCAUAAGCGUGGUACGAAUAACUUCACCCACUCCCAGCAUGCUGGAUCAAGAGGAAGCCGAGCGACUAGAAGAGUUGGAGCGAUUUCUGGACACAAACCACUCGGACGGCGAUGAUUCAGAGAAUGAGGAAAGCGCUGAUGACCAUGGUAGUCAGAGCGAUGGCGGUGAUGACGAUGAGGACAACAGUGAGUGCGUUGAGAUCAAGAGUGAAAUGGAUCACGUUACUGGCGAUGAUGAUGAGGAUAAUAGCAGUAAUGUUGGCGGUGGUUUGUAUAAUGACGACUCAACCGAAACCGAAACGGAAGCUGUUCGAGUAAAGAAGCGCCCUGGUCGUAAGCCUAAGAAAGUAAAGAAACGUAAGCGGCGUAAGCCCAAGGAACGUCCACAAGUUGUGGGUCUCAGUGUAGAGCAGUUCUAUGCGGAAACCACAGCCGAUGUCGUGGUAAAAAAUGCUUUGAAACUGGCAGGUUUAUCAAUCUUUAAGCGAACUCCUGAAACGGAUGCUUUAUUGGAAAUCAUUAGGAAUGACCACAACUAUACGCCCUUUACCUCUCCCGAGCAGAUGCGCAAUCAUAAGACGGCCGAGCGUAUGGCCAUGGAGAGACAGGCGGCCCAAGGUCGCAAGCUUAUUAUGCAGGCUCCUCCAGGAAAUAUUAAAUUAUUUAAUACCAAACGACGUAUCCAGACGACCACGACCACGGCGACGACAACGCCGCCAGCGUCAAAAAUUCUCGUAAAGUCACAGAAGCACCAGCAGCAGGCACUACCGAAGGAGAAACCGGAUACCAUAGCUGUUAAGGCGAUUCAAAGGCCCGGACGAAACUUGAUUAAAAUCAUUUCACCGCCUCCCACUACACCUGUUGAAGAUAACAUCGAAGAUGAUGAGCAUGCCUUUAGUUCGGACUUGGACGCUGAGGAGAUAAGUGAGGAGAGUGAAGAAUCUCGCGAUUCGGAUAAUGACCGGGAUAGUGAUAUGGACUUUAACAUAAGUCGCAGCAAUCGAGUACCAAGUAAAAAGAAACAACGUUUAAAGGUACCCAUAAAACGUGCCAAGCAACAACAAGGCAAGCAGUUACCUCCAGCCACUUCCUCUGUGUUUACUUCGCACACUCCCUCUGCGGCAACAACUCCGACUUUAGUUUCGUCUCCUGUUCAACAACAACAACAGCAGCUAUUGAGGAAGAAACCGAACCGGGUAUUGGCCUCAGAUCAGGCAUCACCUAAAAUAGGUCAAAUUAUUCAGUUAUCAGCGAACAAAGCCCCGCCCACAGUAAUAGCUUUGGGUCGUAAUAUGCAGACAACAUCAUUCCUAAAGAUGCGUCCCGCCCAACAGCAACAACAGCCACAUACACAAGUGGCGAGGAAGACGCCUCCUGUGGUAAUUACAUCAAAUGAAAUAAUCCGAUUGCCUACACCAACAAACCAAGCGGCGGCUUCUUCUUCUGCUGCUGCUGCUGCUGCCAAAAUGCGUCGUAUACCCAUUGUGCAAGUAGGCAGAGUUCAAUCCAAUCCAACAACAUCUGGCGUAUUCACGACUCCGCCACCGCAAGAGGUUAAAGAGAUUGUUAUUAAUAAAAAUAUUGCCAGUCCGAAAGGUGUUUUCACCAAUCUUAACAGUCUGUUGGGCGAGAGUAGUAAAAUAAAAUCAACUGCGGCAUCUCCAUCAGCUUCAUCCUCCACUCCGGACCGCCAACGUCACAUGUCACCGAUGCAACCAUUUAACAAGGGUUUCAUGCCCAUCGGAGUGACGACAGCUUCUACACACAAGUUGCCCGCUCAGAUAGUCAUUGAGACACAUCAAAGCUCAUCGGAACUGGCAGCCGAGAAUGACAAGCAACUCGAUCUCAUUAAUUCAAUAGUCCAGGAUGAGUUGCUCAAGUCUUCACUAAUUGAACAACCUCCAGUCAAUGUGGAUGAGAGUAUACCAAAACUGGUCAAGAUGCUGGAAAGCACCGCCGAGGGAUUGGAUCAAACGGCAUCAAAUUUUGAUCAGAAUCCAAAUCAGUCAACAACUGUGGACACCAUUGACAUAAGCAAUGCCCGUUUGUUGGAGACUCCAGAUGAGGAUGAGAUUACUGCCGAUUUUCUUCAGCAUGUGGUCGGUCUUAUCGAAGAGGAUAAGCAGUUUGAGGCCGAAGUGGUUAAACAGGUCCUUGCCAGUACGGAGCUUGAUCUACUUAAUGCUGUACCAGCUCUGGACUCUCCUGUUCCGAUUUUGCAACAAGCACCGGAUUCUCAGUUAACGGUUCAACCCCUGCCUCCAAUGGCCAGUAGUACGCCCUCAAGAAGUACAACAAUUCCAGUUGCUGAUCCAGAGUCACCUCGUCCCGAUACGAAAAUUGUGCGAGGCAAUGGACGCAUUAUUUAUCUACCGCCCAUUGAGGCACCCACCACGCGGGCCAAGCGUCGGGCCCAGAAUACUUCAGUUCCGGGUUCCAUGGAUCAAAGUAACAUAUCGUUAUCUGACUAUGUCAUGGACAGCAGUAACAGCAGCAUUAGCAAUGAGCUAGUUGCAGCCACAUCUGUUAAACGAACAAACCCCAGGGAACCAUCAAUGACCAGACGGUCAGCUGUGCCCAGACGGUCGCAUACAAAGAUGCUUGCCAGCCAAACCACCGAUGCAGAGGCAUCCGAAUCUCAAGAGGACGACGAUGAUCCAAAUAAGCUUUGGUGUAUUUGUCGUCAGCCACACAAUAAUCGUUUCAUGAUUUGUUGCGAUCUAUGUGAGGAUUGGUAUCAUGGCACCUGUGUUAAUGUUACCAAAGCCAUGGGUCUCGAAAUGGAGCAAAAGGGUAUCGAUUGGAAGUGUCCGAAAUGUAUCAAAAAGAAGGAAGAGAUGUCCCAACCAAGGAUAACGGAUAUGUUAAACAUUCAAGGAGCAGGAGCACCGACAAUUGAGGCUCUAACGCCAAAGAAAUCAACUCCGGGAAGUGCUUCGCCUCAAACAAAGCAUUUAAUUAAACGUCUACCCACACCCACUGCUGCAUCAUCAAUAAGCCCUAACACUAAUCCUCCUGCAUCUCAAACUCCUGUUAGCAAAGUGUUGCAUCAACAGCAAUUGAAUUUUAUUAAACUGGGUGCCAGCAGUGGGCAAGCGGAGAGAACUGCUGCCUGUGUGGUCUGCAAGAGAAUACUUCGCUCCAAUUCAUCGGUGUAUUGCAGCGAUGAGUGCAUCAGGAAAUAUGCACAAGCAGCUAUACAACAGCAGAUGCCAGUAAAAACUCCAGAGACUCCUCCUGUAAUGUCAUUGUCGCCAACAACUAGCGCCAAUUUGUCACACGACGCCAAGAAGAACAAGAAAAAAGAUUUGUUUGAGGAUGUGCUGCGACAAGCAGACAUUUCCAUGCCCAAAGUUGAUCGUAUCAAUGUAUUUGAGCGACGCACUGGACGCGCACUCACAGGUCAUUUGGCACCGACAACCCAACAACUGAAGAAAUGGUUACAGGAUAAUCCUACAUUCGAGGUGUUGCCAACGGCAACUGUAGAGAAACGACCGAUCAAACGAUCAAGUCCUCCAACACCAGAAACGACGAUUGUUGUGAAACCAAAAGCUUUGGCCGAAGUUGCACCCAAAACUGAUUCUAUUCCAACAACCCAAACGAUUCUGAACACGCCUGUAAGCAGAAAGGAAAGGGAGAAGGAAAAGGCUCCAGUCGCUUCUAGAGUGGCAUCUCCAGUGCGAGCCGGUAGUACCAAAUCUGAACCAAUUCGAGUCAAUGUGCGACGAACUCUCAAAGAGCAAUUGCUGGCUAGAAUUAAAGAGGCACAAGAGGCAAAUAAAGAUAAGGCCAUUAAAUGGCUAACAUCGUUGGAGGUGGAGCAAUUUGCCAAGAGUGUGGAGUCAGAAAUGUAUCAUUCGUUUGGACGCGAUGCUGGAGCGAAGUACAAAUCCAAAUAUCGCUCACUUAUGUUCAACAUCAAGGAUCGCAAGAACAAAACGCUUUUUGAAAAAAUAUGUGCCAAGCAGGUGGAACCUAAACAAUUGGUUAGAAUGACUCCCGAACAAUUGGCCAGCCAGGAACUGGCCAAAUGGCGUGAAGAGGAGAACCGCCAUCAAUUGGAUAUGAUUAAGAAAUCUGAAUUGGACAUGCUAUCGUGCACUCAAAACUAUUUGGUGAAUACACACAAGGGCGAGGAAGUCAUUGACCCCAAAAUUGAAGUCACUCUGCCGGAUGAGGAAGCGCAAACGGAGGAGAAGCAAGUGGAGGUAGAAGCUAAGAUAUCUCAAUCGCAUUCGAGUGAAGCUGAUGGUAGUCUUGAGCGUUCGAGUUCCAAGGAGAAGCGACACAAAAGCCAAAAGCAUCACCAUCAUCACCGUCAUCAUCACCAGCGCAACAGGAGCCGUAGUCGGUCACAUAGUCGCAGUCGCAGUUUGGAGAAACGUCAUCGUCGACAUCCUCACAACAACGAUUCAGAAAAGGCCGAUGGCAAGCAUGAUGAGAGCGCCAUCCCUUCACCAUUAGCUGCAUCCUCUUCGCCCUUGCCCAAGAAAGUUAUCGAAAAGAAAACGGAGGAGACACCAACUAAACCAUUGCCUACUUAUAACUUAAUCGAUCAAAUUCUUGAAUCUGAAAAGACUGUGGAACAGGCUGCCAACUUAAAGUUGCCCACCGCCAAACAACCAAAUCUAAAAGCGCCAACAAAAGUGCUACCUACGACUCCAAUGGACAAGUAUGUUCGAUAUGUGCAGGGAAAUGAAGCGUGGUCGACACCUUUAUGGUCCGGAAAUCUCCAUAUGGUCGAUGUAGCCGACUUUCAAGUGAUCAUUCAUCCCGUACAUGGCAACUGUCAGAAUCUGGCCAAAUUGUUGCCCAACAAAUUGGAUGUGAUUGGUCGCAUCACUCGUGUCAAUGUCUGGGACUAUAUAAAAAAGAUUAAAAAGAGUCCCACCAAAGAGAUUAUCAUUGUGAAUCUUUUUCCCCAAAGCCCCAGUGAGACGGCAAGUUUCGAUCAGUUCUACGAAUACUUGGAUUCGCGUCAACGCUUGGGUGUGCUUGGUACGGAUUCAGAUCAGAUACGCGAUUUCUAUAUAUUUCCACUGGGCACCAAAGACCAUUUGCCUAGUGCUCUCCAAACGGCAGAACGCGUACCUUUCUAUGAGGAUACACAGCGGCCGAACACACUUCUGGGAAUCAUCGUGAGAUGUCUUAGCAAGCGAACUGCGGCAGUUCCAAUACCUUUAAAUACCAGUGCAAACACGAUCAAUUCUAGCAGCAGCAGCAGCAGCAACAUAGCCAGCAAAAAAUCCCGUUCGGCAACCACAUUUACACCGCCAACCAGUCCAAAACGGAAGCGUAGCUCUCACUCCACUAGCUCAAAGGACGAUGAGUUUGAUAUUGAUGCUAUUAUAAAAGCGCCGAUUGCUAAGCUACAGAAAAUAGAUGAACCACCUGGUCACCUAAUCAUACCAGUAGAUGAUCCCAAUGCGCCUUAUUCGCCCGGUGGCAGUUCAGAUGAUGAAAAGCGUUCCAACAAAGGUGAUCUUGAGCGUCAAGUACAGGAAAUCAAUAAGCAAAUUGCUGCCCAGCAAAAAGAAAUUGCUGGAUUGCUCAAUGUGGAACCUUCUGGUAAGCCGACAACAUCGUCUAAUAUACUUGCCGGCAUUUCCAUACCACCAAAUCUAUCAAAAAUUCUGGCUAGCAUAAAGGAAUCGUCGGACACACAGACCACAAGUAAUGCUCUUAAUUCAGAGGAAUACAAUCCUGAAGAUGCAAUUACCACAACCAGUUCAUAUCCAGUUAUAGCGGCAAGAAAGAGCAGAAGCCGUUUGGCGCAGCUAAGUGAAGCAGAGCUUCUUAGCAUGGUACCAGACAAUUUGGCAGAUGUGGCGGCCACUCCAGCAACAUCCAACACAAAUCGUUAUCAACAGCAGCAGCAGCAGCAACAACACUAGCCUUGCCUUCAUCAAAUUAUUCUUCUGCAACAACCAGCCAACUCGAACCUUAUUUGUAAUUAGUUUUUGAACGGAAUUCGAUAUCUGAUUUUUAGCUACUCCUUCCCAACCAAGGCAAAGGCACAGUGUACAAUCUUAUUCGGCGUAUUGAAUACCAUUUCUGUAUUAUAUCCUUAUCGAUUGGAACAAUUCUUUUAUUAUUUCCCCGCACUUUCGAUUACUUUGAUCUCACAGGGGUCAUCAUGACCACUAAAGUGGGCACAGGAUAUUUUGGGGCCAUUGUGCACGCG